AGAGUUUGAUCCUGGCUCAGGACGAACGCUGGCGGCGUGCCUAACACAUGCAAGUCGAGCGGAGACAGUGAGUAGCUUGCUAUGAGCUGUUUUAGCGGCGGACGGGUGAGUAACGCGUGAGCAACCUUUCCCAGACAGGGGAAUAACACACCGAAAGGUGUACUAAUACCGCAUAAGACCACGGGAUCACAUGGUUCUGGGGUAAAAGAUUUAUCGGUUUGGGGUGGGCUCGCGUCCGAUUAGGUAGUUGGUGAGGUAACGGCCCACCAAGCCGACGAUCGGUAGCCGACCUGAGAGGGUGAUCGGCCACAUUGGGACUGAGACACGGCCCAAACUCCUACGGGAGGCAGCAGUGGGGAAUAUUGCACAAUGGGGGAAACCCUGAUGCAGCGACGCCGCGUGAGCGAAGAAGUAUUUCGGUAUGUAAAGCUCUAUCAGCAGGGAAGAAAAUGACGGUACCUGACUAAGAAGCCCCGGCUAACUACGUGCCAGCAGCCGCGGUAAUACGUAGGGGGCAAGCGUUGUCCGGAAUAAUUGGGCGUAAAGGGCGCGUAGGCGGCUCGGUAAGUCUGGAGUGAAAGUCCUGCUUUUAAGGUGGGAAUUGCUUUGGAUACUGUCGGGCUUGAGUGCAGGAGAGGUUAGUGGAAUUCCCAGUGUAGCGGUGAAAUGCGUAGAGAUUGGGAGGAACACCAGUGGCGAAGGCGACUAACUGGACUGUAACUGACGCUGAGGCGCGAAAGUGUGGGGAGCAAACAGGAUUAGAUACCCUGGUAGUCCACACUGUAAACGAUGAAUGCUAGGUGUAGGGGGUAUCGACCCCUUCUGUGCCGCAGUCAACACAAUAAGCAUUCCGCCUGGGGAGUACGGCCGCAAGGUUGAAACUCAAAGGAAUUGACGGGGGCCCGCACAAGCAGUGGAGUAUGUGGUUUAAUUCGA
rnacentral:rRNA from 1 species